rnacentral:tRNA from 1 species
GGACGAUUAGCUCAACUGGUUAGAGCACGCGAUUCACAUUCGCGAGGUCACAGGUUCGAGCCCUGUAUCGUCCA